UACGGGGGGGAGCAAGCGUUGUUCGGAUUUACUGGGCGUAAAGGGCGCGUAGGCGGUCAGCACAAGUCAAUUGUGAAAUCUCCGAGCUUAACUCGGAAAGGUCAACUGAAACUGUGCGACUAGAGUGCGGAAGGGGCAACUGGAAUUCUUGGUGUAGCGGUGAAAUGCGUAGAUAUCAAGAGGAACACCUGCGGCGAAGGCGGGUUGCUGGGCCGACACUGACGCUGAAGCGCGAAAGCCAGGGGAGCGAACAGG
rnacentral:rRNA from 1 species